UUCAUACUCCCUCCGUCCGAAAAUACUUGUCAUCAAAAUGGACAAAGAGGGAUGUAUCUAGAACUAAAAUACAUCUAGAUACAUCGCUUUUUAUUCAUUUUGAUAACAAGUAUUUCCGGACGAAGUGAGUAUAAA
rfam:Triticum aestivum genome assembly, contig: Triticum_aestivum_CS42_TGACv1_scaffold_374149_5AL